rnacentral:tRNA from 1 species
CGCGGGGUGGAGCAAUUGGAAGCUCGUCAGGCUCAUAACCUGAAGGUUGCCGGUUCGAGUCCGGCCCCCGCAACCA